rnacentral:rRNA from 1 species
UACGUAGGGAGCGAGCGUUAUCCGGAUUUAUUGGGUGUAAAGGGUGCGUAGGCGGUUUGAUAAGUCUAAGAUCUAAGCCCGAAGCUUAACUUCGGUUCGUCUUAGAAACUGUCUUACUUGAGCAUGGUAGAGGCAAGUGGAAUUUCUAGUGUAGCGGUUAAAUGCGUAGAUAUUAGAAGGAACACCAGUGGCGAAGGCGACUUGCUGGGCCAUUGCUGACGCUGAGGCACGAAAGCGUGGGGAGCAAAUAGG